GUGCCCCCGAGAAGGCCGGGCAGGCACUCACAACCCACCGCAGAAGGACAAAAGACCCGAACAAGCCACUUACCGGGGCCGCUGUGGUCACCGAGCCUCCGGAGACGGCCGCUGGAGAUUUAAAGGCUGGAAGUCUGAAAUCCAGGCGUCAGCAAGACCUGAUACCCCGAAGGCUCCAGGGGACACUCCUGCUGCACCUCCCAACUUCUGGCUGCCCAGACUGCACCCCUCCUGCCUCUGCCUCUGUCCUCACUCGGCCUCCCCUGUGUCUGUGUCACCUCUUCUGUCUCUUAGUGCGUGUGGCGGCAGGCAGCCCCUGGCACAGAGAAGAAGCCAAGCUUGAUGCUCCCUGAGAUCCCCCCGUGCCCACGUGCCAGCCUUCGUGUGGGAGCAGCCACCGACCCCGGGAAGAGACCCCCGGCCCACAGCCGCUCCAUCGCAGCUUUCUGGAGCUCGGGCCGGGCCUGCACCCGCAUUCAGCAGAGAGGGAGCUGGAGCGAACAACACAGUCCUCAGUCAUUCUGGUUGAGAAGUGAGUUAUUUGUAUGUAAUUU